rnacentral:rRNA from 1 species
AUUGAACGCUGGCGACAGGCCUAACACAUGCAAGUCGAGCGCGAAAGUCUUCGGAUGAGUAAAGCGGCGAACGGGUGAGUAAUGCAUGGGAAUCUGCCUGGUAGUGGGGGACAACGUCUCGAAAGGGACGCUAAUACCGCAUACGCCCUACGGGGGAAAGGGGGGAUCUUCGGACCUCUCGCUAUCAGAUGAGCCCAUGUCAGAUUAGCUAGUUGGUGAGGUAAAGGCUCACCAAGGCGACGAUCUGUAACUGGUCUGAGAGGAUGAUCAGUCACACUGGAACUGAGACACGGUCCAGACUCCUACGGGAGGCAGCAGUGGGGAAUAUUGGACAAUGGGGGGCAACCCUGAUCCAGCCAUGCCGCGUGUGUGAAGAAGGCCCUAGGGUUGUAAAGCACUUUCAGUGGGGAGAAAGGUUAUUUCACCUAAUACGUGAGUAGAAUUGAUGUUACCCACAGAAGAAGCACCGGCUAACUCCGUGCCAGCAGCCGCGGUAAU